GGGAAAGUCAUGUGUCUGUGAACAGGACUGAGACGGGGGAAAGUCAUGUGUCUGUGAACAGGACUGAGACGGGGGAAAGUCAUGUGUCUGUGAACAGGACUGAGACGGGGGAAAUCAUGUGUCUGUGAACAGGACUGAGACGGGGGAAAGUCAUGUGUCUGUGAACAGGACUGAGACGGGGGAAAGUCAUGUGUCUGUGAACAGGACUGAGACGGGGGAAAUCAUGUGUCUGUGAACAGGACUGAGACGGGGGAAAGUCAUGUGUCUGUGAACAGGACUGAGACGGGGGAAAGUCAUGUGUCUGUGAACAGGACUGAGACGGGGGAAAUCAUGUGUCUGUGAACAGGACUGAGACGGGGGAAAGUCAUGUGUCUGUGAACAGGACUGAGACGGGGGAAAGUCAUGUGUCUGUGAACAGGACUGAGACGGG